rnacentral:rRNA from 1 species
AGAGCGAACGCUGGCGGCAGGCCUAAAACAUGCAAGUCGAACGAACCCUUCGGGGUUAGUGGCGCACGGGUGAGUAACGCGUGGGAAUGUACCUUAUAGUGGGGAAUAACUUCGGGAAACUGGAGCUAAUACCGCAUACGCCCGAAAGGGGAAAGAUUUAUCGCUAUAAGAUCAGCCCGCGUGAGAUUAGGUAGUUGGUGGGGUAAUGGCCUACCAAGCCUACGAUCUCUAGCUGGUCUGAGAGGAUGAUCAGCCACACUGGAACUGAGACACGGUCCAGACUCCUACGGGAGGCAGCAGUGGGGAAUAUUGGGCAAUGGAGGAAACUCUGACCCAGCCAUGCCGCGUGAAUGAUGAAGGCCUUAGGGUUGUAAAGUUCUUUCGCCGAUGAAGAUAAUGACGGUAGUCGGAGAAGAAGCCCCGGCUAACUUCGCGCCAGCAGCCGC